rnacentral:rRNA from 1 species
GACGAACGCUGGCGGCGUGCUUAACACAUGCAAGUCGAGCGGAGCGGCGAACGGGUGAGUAACUCGUGAGUAACUGCCCCCCUCUCUGGGAUAACAGUUGGAAACGGCUGCUAAUACCGGAUAGUGGGGGAUGACUCGCGUCCUAUCGGCUUGUUGGUGGGGUAGUGGCCUACCAAGGCGACGACGGGUAGCCGGCCUGAGAGGGCGACCGGCCACAUUGGGCUGAGGUACGGCCCAGAGGCCGACGUGGGGCAGCGGGGGGGAAUAUGGCGCAAUGGGGGAAACCGUGAGGCAGCAACGCCGGGUGCGGGAUGACGGCCUUCGGGUUGUAAACCGCUUUCAGCCAUGACGCGGUAGUGGCAGAAGAAGCACCGGCUAACUACGUGCCAGCAGCCGCGGUAAUAC